rnacentral:rRNA from 1 species
AGUCGAACGGGGCAUCUUAUUUCGGUAAGAUGCCAAGUGGCGAACGGGUGAGUAACACGUGGGCAACCUGCCCUUCAGACGGGGACAACAUUCCGAAAGGAGUGCUAAUACCGGAUACGCCCGCACCUACGCAUGUAGGUGCGGGGAAAGGAUGGCCUCUAUUUAUAAGCUAUCGCUGAAGGAUGGGCCUGCGUCCGAUUAGCUAGUUGGUGAGGUAACGGCCCACCAAGGCGAUGAUCGGUAGCCGGUCUGAGAGGAUGAACGGCCACAUUGGGACUGAGACACGGCCCAGACUCCUACGGGAGGCAGCAGUGGGGAAUCUUCCACAAUGGACGAAAGUCUGAUGGAGCAACGCCGCGUGAGCGAUGAAGGAUUUCGGUCUGUAAAACUCUGUUGUUCAUGACGAACGUUUCCUAGGUGAAUAAUCUAGGGGAGUGACGGUAGUGAACGAGGAAGCCACGGCUAACUACGUGCCAGCAGCCGCGGUAAUACGUAGGUGGCGAGCGUUGUCCGGAAUUAUUGGGCGUAAAGAGCAUGUAGGCGGCUUUUUAAGUCGGGCGUGAAAAUGCGGGGCUUAACCCCGUAUGGCGUUCGAAACUGGAGGGCUUGAGUGCAGGAGAGGA